GGCUCGCUUUGACUAGCCUGAAGAAGCUGACGAACAGCUGAACCGUGGGUGUAAACCCCUAGCUCAGACACACAGAUUCAAAGCAAGACAUGAAAAGAACGGAGUUAGGGGUUAGCAUUCGAGGGGUAAUCUCGAAAUACUGGAAGACCUCUUUGAAGAAAGGAGAAAAGGGGAAGGACAGACCGUACUCCCUCUGUUUGAUGAAGAAGACUAGACUGACAUCCCUUUGAGGGUCGAUUAGGCCAGGGGGAGAAGGAUCAGGAAGAACGAUCCUCUCAUUUCGGUAAGGAGCCCAGAUGUGAUAAAGAGGGGUAUCCAGGUAUUCCCUAGAAAUGAAAUUCCUAAUGUUAGACGGGGUGAUGCUAGACUCCUGGUUGACGACAUCGGGGAGACUAGAACUAUCCAUGGUAAAAGAAGAGGCGUACCUGAAAAGUGAUUAGGGCAAAUGAGCAGAGGAAAGCAAAGAGAGCAGUAGAACAGAGAAGAGCCAACGUUCUGGGGAGACUGACGGGAAGUGAAAUUUGAAACAAUAAAGAGC
rnacentral:lncRNA from 1 species